UACGUAGGAGGCGAGCGUUGUCCGGAGUUACUGGGCGUAAAGGGCGCGUAGGCGGACAGUUUAGUCAGAGGUGAAAGCCCAGGGCUCAACCUUGGAAUUGCCUUUGAUACUGGCUGUCUUGAGUUCGGGAGAGGUGAGUGGAAUGCCGAGUGUAGAGGUGAAAUUCGUAGAUAUUCGGCGGAACACCAGUGGCGAAGGCGACUCACUGGCCCGAUACUGACGCUGAGGCGCGAAAGCGUGGGGAGCAAACAGG
rnacentral:rRNA from 1 species